GUAUUAUAAACUCUAUAGUUCUCGUACAACCCGACCUUUCCCUUCUCUGUGACCAUUCUCCGAAUUCCUAGAGGGCUCUGGGGAGGCGGGACCGUUCCACCAGCUCCAUUCACCCAUACAGACCAAUGGAAAAGGAGGAGUGUUUAAAGUGGCAGCAGGAUUGACCAAUGGAAAGCAGCGUUCGCAAGAGAGGUGGGACGCAUGCAGAGAGCGAAAUUCGAAAGGCUGCAACUUGCAGCCGAUUGGCCUCGUGCUCAGAUUUAGAAAUGGGUCCCUGGAAGCAGCUUGCAGGACGGUGUUUUCCUUUUCUGUUUUGGUGGUGAAAGGCAAGUGGGGGAGGUGGCGGCUCUAGCAGUGAAAGUUGCACACCCCUAAAAAGAAAGUUAGCCUGGAAAAUGGGGCUGGUGCGGUGGAAAACGGAGGGGGCAUCAGAAAAUGGGUUGGGUGUGUGUGUUUCUGGAGCGAUGCAGGGUCAGGAUCAGUGCCGCUGAGAUCUGCAGAAGGGAUCUGUGUCUGUGUGCCUCUGUCCUUUGUGGAUUUUGAUAUAGCGCUAAAUGUCCUGCAUCCCCACCCCACCCCCGUGUUCUGGGUGUUCUCCUGGUGCCCCAGAGCACAUUUGUCUAUUCUGUCUACAUUUCCCACUAGGAUCUGAUUCUUCUAUCAAAGAUGGUGCUGGAGAAUCCUUUACUUCGACUUCCUCUGUGUUCUCAACGUUUUUGCUUUUAAAGUUCUGUUAAAACAUUCCACAACAGAGGCUUUUACUUCAUGAUCGGUGACAACGUAUUGAACUCCGUACUGUUUUAGCAAGCUGCAUGCUAACUAAAAUAUAAAUAAAUAUCCCCGCUCAGAAACAAAACUCUUUACCUGCAAGCCUUCUUUCUCUACCUCUCCACGACACUCCUUUUCUUCAGACUCCCCUUUUCUCCUGUGGUUUCAAAACUGCCGCCAUCCAAAGUCCACUGCUGGCACAAAAAUUACCUUUGCCUCAGUGGCCUCGUCCUUUGGGGUUUGAGAAUUGUUGGAAACUGCUGGAACCAUAGUUUCAGGGUCUGGAUCUUGUUAAA